AAACCGGGGCUAAUACCGGAUAAUAUUUUGAACUGCAUGGUUCGAAAUUGAAAGGCGGCUUCGGCUGUCACUUAUGGAUGGACCCGCGUCGCAUUAGCUAGUUGGUGAGGUAACGGCUCACCAAGGCAACGAUGCGUAGCCGACCUGAGAGGGUGAUCGGCCACACUGGGACUGAGACACGGCCCAGACUCCUACGGGAGGCAGCAGUAGGGAAUCUUCCGCAAUGGACGAAAGUCUGACGGAGCAACGCCGCGUGAGUGAUGAAGGCUUUCGGGUCGUAAAACUCUGUUGUUAGGGAAGAACAAGUGCUAGUUGAAUAAGCUGGCACCUUGACGGUACCUAACCAGAAAGCCACGGCUAACUACGUGCCAGCAGCCGCGGUAAUACGUAGGUGGCAAGCGUUAUCCGGAAUUAUUGGGCGUAAAGCGCGCGCAGGUGGUUUCUUAAGUCUGAUGUGAAAGCCCACGGCUCAACCGUGGAGGGUCAUUGGAAACUGGGAGACUUGAGUGCAGAAGAGGAAAGUGGAAUUCCAUGUGUAGCGGUGAAAUGCGUAAAGAUAUGGAGGAACACCAGUGGCGAAGGCGACUUUCUGGUCUGUAACUGACACUGAGGCGCGAAAGCGUGGGGAGCUAACAGGAUU
rnacentral:rRNA from 1 species